CGCCGGGAAUUCGAUUGUDUGAUCCUGGCUCAGGAUGAACGCUGGCGGCGUGCUUUACACAUGCAAGUCGAACGGGAAACAUUUUAUUGAAGCUUCGGCAGAUUCGGUCUGUUUCUAGUGGCGGACGGGUGAGUAACGCGUGGGUAACCUGCCUUAUACAGGGGGAUAACAACCAGAAAUGGUUGCUAAUACCGCAUAAGCGCACAGGACCGCAUGGUCGGNUGUGAAAAACUCCGGUGGUAUAAGAUGGACCCGSGUUGGAUUAGCUAGUUGGCAGGGUAACGGCCUACCAAGGCGACGAUCCAUAGCCGGCCUGAGAGGGUGAACGGCCACAUGGGACUGAGACACGGCCCAGACUCCUACGGGAGGCAGCAGUGGGGAAUAUUGCACAAUGGGGGAAACCUGAUGCAGCGACGCCGCGUGAAGGAAGAAGUAUCUCGGUAUGUAAACUUCUAUCAGCAGGGAAGAUAGUGACGGUACCUGACUAAGAAGCCCCGGCUAACUACGUGCCAGCAGCCGCGGUAAUACGUAGGGGGCAAGCGUUAUCCGGAUUUACUGGGU
rnacentral:rRNA from 1 species